AUUGAACGCUGGCGGCAGGCCUAACACAUGCAAGUCGAGCGGAGCGGCGGACGGGUGAGUAAUGCCUAGGUAUCUGCCUGGUAGUGGGGGAUAACGUCCGGCAACGGGCGAUAAUUCAUCAUACUUUCAGUUGAGCCUAGGUCGGAUUAGCUAGUUGGUGGGGUAAAGGCCUACCAAGGCGACGAUCCGUACCUGGUCUGAGAGGAUGAUCAGUCACACUGGAACUGAGACACGGUCCAGACUCCUACGGGAGGCAGCAGUGGGGAAUAUUGGACAAUGGGCGAAAGCCUGAUGCAGCCAUGCCGCGUGUGUGAAGAAGGUCUUCGGAUUGUAAAGCACUUUAAGUUGGGAGGCGUUACCCACAGAAUAAGCACCGGCUAACUCCGUGCCAGCAGCCGCGGUAAUUC
rnacentral:rRNA from 1 species